rnacentral:tRNA from 1 species
GCCCUAGUGGUGGAAUUGGUAGACACAAGGGAUUUAAAAUCCCUCGGCGUUCGCGCUGUGCCGGUUCAAGUCCGGCCCGGGGCACCA